AGGACCCCCCUCCCACCUCCCCUUUAAGACCCCCCUCCCACCUCCCCUUUAAGGACCCCCUGAACCUCCCCUUUAAGGACCCCCGUAUUCCACCACUUUAAGAACUCCCAGCCACCUCCAUUUAAUAUGCCUGUAUCACCGCCCCUUUAAGACCCCCCUCAGCACAGACACCAGACCUGGGUGGUGAGGCGAUGGGGGGGUGAGGGGGUGAGGGGGUGAGGGGCGGAAAGGGUGUCACGCAUGACCUGGGUUGCCGUGGAAACAGGCUAAGGAAUGCCGGACGGUUUAUCCGAGUGCCAAAGCUGGAAGUGGAAGGUCCGGACUCCAGCGGACCAGGACCCCCCAGUCUCCAGGACCAGCUAGUCCCCAGGACCCCCCAGUCUCCAGGACCCCCCCCUUCCCCCCCGGCCCCCCUGUACAUACGGACGUCGGUUGGUUUUGUUGAACUGUUAUAGAUUUGUACAAUUUUACAUGAAGAAAUUUGUUACAUUUUGUAAACAGGAGUAAACUACACACACACACACACACACACACACACACACACACACACACACACACACACACACACACACACACACACACACACACACACACACAGCAGAUCUCUCUCCAGUCUGCGUCUUCUAAGUAUUUGGUCUCUAAAACUACGGUGCCAGCAGUGUGUAAACGUGCACAGCGUGGGCGUGCACGUUUAUUUUGUACUCCCCCAGCCUUGUGGAACCACUAGACUCCCAGACUGGGUUCUGACCUGGUCUGCACCGGACCCUCCUCACAGGAAGAGGAGGAUCUUCAGAUGAAGUGGAGGAGGAAGACGAAGGUCUAAGAGCGCCCCUAGUCCUGGUCGAGACCUGGUCUUAGUCCUGGUCGAGACCUGGUCUUAGUCCAGGUCUAGACCUGGUCUUAGUCCUGUUCGAGACGUCUUGGACCAGCAGUCCUUUGAGGACGCACUGUGUGAAUCAGAACAAAACAGGACUUCUUCAACACAUGCACACACACGCAUAUAUGGUACACACGCAUGCAUGGUACACACGCACACAUAUGGCACACAAACAAACACACACACUCCGACAAACACAGCUCAAUGCAUCUCAAAUUCCUGCUGCCUGAACUGUUGUUAACCUGUCUAGUAGUCUCUCUCCCCUCGCUCUCCCUCUGUGUAACUGUUCAGUGUGUUUCGUUGUGUGUCGGCCCAUCCACAUCUGUAGAGGGUUAGCAGCACAGCUGCCCUCCACGUCGGCUCAAAGGAGCUCCGCGCGACGCAGCGGAGAGCUGCUGUAGUCCGCUCUGUAGCCGCGCAUGGCCGCUCAUAUAUCAAUACUGUACAACGCUUCUGAUAGGCUGACCUCUCGCUGGACCCCCUCUCAGACCCCCACCGGACCCCCACCGGACCUGGACCUGGGUUAGACCCUAUCUAGACGGCACUCGGACCCGACCUAGACCUGAGUUAGACUCGAUCUAGACUGGCUCUAGAUGUGCCCCCUGGCCCGUUGACCCUCAGCUCAUCACGCUGGUGUAGACGCCGCUGAACCCGACGCCGUGAAUGAGUGACCGACAAAUGAAUGAAUGAAAUACUGAAGGGCAGCCCACCGCCGGUGGAGCCCCGUGUUCAGGGUGACCCGCUGAAUGUGGACCCAGGAAGACCCAGCUAGCUGAUGGCUAGGUAGCUGAUAGCUAGCUGAUAGGUAGCUGCCAGCUAGCUGAUGAAUAGGUAGCUGCCAGCUAGCUGAAGGCUAGGUAGCCGCCAGCUAGCUGACGGCUAGGUAGCUGAUAGCUAGCUGAUGGAUAGGUAGCUGCCAGCUAGCUGAUGAAUAGGUAGCUGCCAGCUAGCUGACGGCUAGGUAGCUGCCAGCUAGCUGAAGGCUAGGUAGCCGCCAGCUAGCUGACGGCUAGGUAGCUGAUAGCUAGCUGAUGGAUAGGUAGCUGCCAGCUAGCUGAUGAAUAGGUAGCUGCCAGCUAGCUGACGGCUAGGUAGCCGCCGGCUAGCUGACGGCUAGGUAGCCGCCGGCUAGCUGACGGCUAGGUAGCCGCCGGCUAGCUGACGGCUAGGUAGCCGCCGGCUAGCUGACGGUUAGGUAGCCGCCGGCUAGCUGACGGCUAGGUAGCCGCCGGCUAGCUGAUGGCUAGGUAGCUGCCAGCUAGAGGGUAGCUGCCAGCUAGAGCGCUGCAAACCAGCUGAUGGCUAGAUAGCUUCCAGAUAAAGAGCUUCUAGAAAGGUACUUUCUAGUUGGACAGUUGCUUGACUGGUGGUUUCUAGCGAGCCGCUAGGUGGUUUUCUAGCUAAGUAGCUGCUGGACAGAUAGCUGCCAACAAGGCAAUGUAGCUGCUAGCUAGAUUCUAUGGUUCUAUCUUGAGGUUCUAUCUUGAUCGCUGAUGUUCUGCUAGUUGCUGGCUACGUUACCUCCAGGCAGAAGCUUUCAUCUUCUGAUAAACUGCUCAAGUGUGGCGUUAACGAGUUGACUAGCUGAGCUGGGUGGUGAUGGUUAGAAGCUAGCUAGGUAGCUAGCUAGGUAGCAGCUGCUAAUGAAGAAGCCACCAGUUCUUCUGCGAUAACUUCCUGGUUCAAACUGUUUCUUGACUCGUCUUGCUUUGCUUCGGUUCCCCAGACGUCGGUACUCCUCCAAACCGCCCUAAUCCGGUUCUGCUCACUCUGCACUUUUCAAAGUAAAAGUCCUGCCGUGUUCGGAUGCUGGGAGGAAUCGUACGGGAAUGGUUUCGGGGGGGAGGGCAGGGGUGCUGAGGGGAUCCCUCCCAUGUGGAGGUCAGAGGUCAGUCCGGUUCCAUUCUGCUUCUCCUCACGCCCCCCCCCCCCCCCCGCUGGGCUGUAGGGCAGGGGGGCUCCAUGCCUGGACUCCGCCUCCUCUCUGGUCCCCAACGGAUCAAAUGUAUUCAACUCUUUGGUAUAAUCUUUGAGUCCAAAGGUACUUAUUCAUGUGGACAUCUCGCUACAUCGAGGCACGCCCCCAAGAGCACUUGUAUGAACCUUCAUUAACGUAUGUAGCAUUAGAUUGGUUCAAUGAGAUGUCGUGUUGAGAUGUUGUCCCGCCCCUUUCGCCCAGAGCAGCCACUCAGGCUGCUGCUGUGUGCUUCAAUAAAUACAACUGCCUUCUCAAAG